rnacentral:misc_RNA from 1 species
AUCGGGAGCGACAUCGACGCUAGUGCGUACAUCCUUUGAAAAGAGAUAGAAGAAGCUAGCGAGGAGAGAGAGACAUAUUUUUGGGUAAGGAUUGGCAACGGAUUAGUACGCGGUUACUACAGCGCCAUAUAUUUUGUUGACAAUGAGUCCGGAGUUUAGUUUUAAUUGCGCAGUGACUCGGGAAGGAGUGUUCCGUUUGAUCUACAUAUUUUUAAAAAGUGCUUGACAAUCGGUAGCUAGUGAAAAACCGAUAUCAUUGGAAAUUUCGUGAAUUCCGUAACUCGGAGAUUUUUCCAUAAGCACUGCCGAUCACGAAUCAUCCGAUCGGGAGCGUGAAAUUUGGCACAUGGUCACCAGAGUACACAUGUGUUGCAGGUCUUCCGUCUUGGAUUCGACGGCAGUUCGGCUUCGGCGACAGGAGCGGCGACAUCAGAAGCGACAUUAGUAGUAACGCAGGUUCCUCAGAGCGACGAUGCAGAGAGAGAACGGUGAGCAGAACUUCACUUAAAAUUGAGUUGCAUAUUGCUGAAAUCGGUUGCGCAAACAUUCCUAUACGUGUUUUGAUCACUCGCUCUUGACUAUAUCAUACUAAAAACGGUCGUUAGAAAUACACUAGCCCGGGUUCUGAACAGUCCUUUAAAAUUCUGAGAGAUGACUUUUCAAUUGAAUUACGCGUUUCAUUCUGUUUUCUAGAAUUCGGAGAUAAUCAAUUGAUCUAUCUAUGUAAUACAAAUAAGAUAUAGCCAUUAUUCUCAAUCAAC